AGAGCGUUAGUCCAAAGUAAGACCCCUGAUUUCGACUCAGAAGAUUAUGACUCAAACCCAUAACCUCUU
rnacentral:tRNA from 1 species